CUCCUUAAAGUGGCGGUGACAUGUAGCUUUCAUAUUCAUAUCACAGCUUUGCUUUCAGGAGCG
rnacentral:pre_miRNA from 1 species